GGAAAGAAAAUCUUAGUGUCACCAUGGACUUUGGCUGUGGGUGUACGCUGUGCUCCCUCUGACCCUUCCUCCUUGCUGGCUGUGUGUUCAAGGGCAAGGUAGCUUAUCCUUUUGUGCCUUGGUGGCCUCAGCAGUAGAAAACACAGUCCCCUCUGGCUGCUCGCUGCUGACUCCCCAUGCUAGGAUAUGGAUGGUACCCACGCAGGAGAGGUGCCCUACAGAUGCCCCCGUGCACACUGGCAUAUCACCAGCACCCUUUAGCUCUCUCUCAUCAUCAUCCCCCGUCUUCAUCAGCAGCAAUCAAUCAAUCAAUCAAUCACCUGACUUCAGGAGUAGCUCAAUCUGAGGCACUGGCAACAAAGUUCAGAGAGAACGCAAUAAACGGACAUAGCAUUGUUAUGGUGAAUAAGAUAAGUGUUAUGCUUCUUCAGUCAAUUAUUUUCCUAUAUUACUUAAAAACUCAAUUUAAAAUGCAACAAGAUUUGUGUUUAGGGCUUGGAAUUUUAAAUGUGCCACUGGAUGUCACUGUUGAACAAAUGCAUACUUGGGUAAACCCAAGUAAAUUGUUGGCUAUAAAACACAUGACUUAAAUCGGGUAUUGAGCAAUCAUGGUCUCAGAGAUAUUGGCAGAUGACAGUUCAGAUAAUAUCAUUUUUCAAAACUCCCUUCCACCAAACUUCUUCUUUGUCUAAAUAUACCCUAUCUCCGUAGUGAUACCUGAAAAACCACCAGAAAAGCUGAUUUUUAGGCUUUAUUAAGCUUUGUUUGGUGAAUUCAUUUAAAUGAUUAUACAUACAUAUUUAAAAACAGCCAUCCUGUGAGAUAGCUCAGCAAAUACUUGUAUAAUUAGUCAAUGUAAUAGCUGAUAAUUAAUGGUCACCUUAUAUUCUAGAGAGAAUAAUCAAAUACUAACAUAUAACAGACAAGUAACCUUUAGAAACUACUGGAGAAAACAUAACAGAAGGAAGCCAUGUACAGAGUAUCUGUGUCCAUCACCUGAUGCUUUAAGGUCAGACAGUGUCAGAAGCUCCACAAGUUCACAGCAAGGCAAAGUGGCCCCAGUGCUGUGGGGAUGUUAUGGGGAUGAAUAAGCAAAGCUGAAAAUCACCAAGGGCCUGAGGCUUAAGAGGGCUUUAGUGUCUCUAAAUCUAAAAGAAAACUCAUCAGCGGGUUUCCAGAUACCAAGCUGCCAGCAUGAGGCUCUAUCCUUUCCCCAUUCAUUUACAUUCCACUCACUUUCUGCAACACCAGGGGAACCUUCACUCCAGGAUCCUUCUUUCGGUCAUUGUCCAACAGGACUGUGAGCGGAACUCCAAAAAUCCCGGUGUCUUCAUUGUAAAAUGGGCAAGAAAGAAAGAAAAAAGAAUCAGAAGAGCGCUUAUUCCAGUGUGCCAAAGAGUUAAAAUCAGAAGAAACCUGUCUUAACUACCUCGUCCUUUUACUCUCUCAGUUUUGUUUCUUUUCAGCUGGAUUCCAAAGGCAUCAAAAAAGGCAGUCAGUUCAAUCAGAGACAGAUGGCGGAUCUUCUUCAUAUCUUCAGAAGACAGGUCUCCUGCUUCAGUUAGACCGAAUCUGGUUUUCUGGACAAUAAAUUUCUACAAUACA
rnacentral:lncRNA from 1 species